rnacentral:rRNA from 1 species
AUUGAACGCUGGCGGCAUGCUUUACACAUGCAAGUCGAACGGUAACAGGGAGCUUGCUCCGCUGACGAGUGGCGAACGGGUGAGUAAUGCGUCGGAACGUGCCGAGUAGUGGGGGAUAACGCAGCGAAAGUUGUGCUAAUACCGCAUACGUACUGAGGUAGAAAGUGGGGGCCCUUCGGGCCUCACGCUAUUCGAGCGGCCGACGUCUGAUUAGCUAGUAGGUGAGGUAAAGGCUCACCUAGGCGACGAUCAGUAGCGGGUCUGAGAGGAUGAUCCGCCACACUGGGACUGAGACACGGCCCAGACUCCUACGGGAGGCAGCAGUGGGGAAUUUUGGACAAUGGGCGCAAGCCUGAUCCAGCAAUGCCGCGUGCAGGAAGAAGGCCUUCGGGUUGUAAACUGCUUUUGUACGGAACGAAACGGUCCUGGUUAAUACCUGGGGCUAAUGACGGUACCGUAAGAAUAAGCACCGGCUAACUACGUGCCAGCCGCCGCAGUAACAC